rnacentral:lncRNA from 1 species
GCUUGCACACCAAAGAAAGUUGACUUGUUGACUAGUCAAUGGUUUUCGAUGUAGUAGGGAACUUUACCCUAACAUCACAGGAACAAACAUAAAAUGGGUGAAUAGUAAUUUUCACACAAGGGUAUUUUGGUCAUUUUAGCCCAAAAUUCAGAAACGAUUUCCUAAGUGUUCAUUGAGUUGACUAGUAUCGUCCCACUUCAAUGUCUUAAAUGUCCUUUGAAAAAAAAAGGGGGUUCUUAGAUCUAGUGUAGAAUUGUAAGUAGUGAGCCUGAUUUACUUUUAAGCCUAGAGUGUUAAUUGUGUAUUCACUUAGUCCUAGAAAAUGACAAGUGUAAGUCUUCAAACAUGUAAAGGCUAAAAUAGCCAAGAGCUAGAAUUAAGACAGAUGGAUGGCUGAGAUUUACUGAUGCUUGUGUGAAUCCAGCUCAGAGCUAACGGUCAUGUAGUACAUGCCGUGUGAGCUCAUUUUCUUACAUAGAGAAUAUACAAAAGCCUUGCUCACAGAUUUUGUGAGCAAGCAGAGCAAUUAUUCAAUAGCAUUCUCCAUUUUCUUCUUUUCUCUCUAAACUGACCAAUACACAAAACCCAGCUUGAAUAGCAAAACACUAACAUCUA